UGUAAUAUUUCUGAGCUUGGUGCAUAAAAAACCUCCCAUGAUAGAUUCUCUGUGCUCUUUUCCUUCAAAGAAAUUGAAGUAGAGGAGUAUGGCAACAUCGGAAGUUGUGUGUUAAAGCUGGUGGAGCCACAAUAUGGAAGGAGCCUAGGAUCCUGAAUCAGUGCCCAGAGCUUGUCCAAUUUCAGUUUUUCUUUUACUGAGGCCAUGGAUCCCUCCAUCCCCACCUUGACACUAGAAUUCUGCCUAAAAUGAAACAGCAACAGAACAGAGGUCAAGAACUUGGAAGGAUUCAUGUGGAAGAAACCAGCAUCCAGAAUUUGGAUCGAAUUUGAAGAAAAGGAAUCAUUUUCUCAACUGUGACAAUGCUUGAAACAACUUCUUGAACUCAUUUAGCUGCCGCUGCCACUGAUCCUAUUGUUUUGUUUUUUACAUCAUCAGAUUUUGAUCAAAGGGUUCACAAAAAUUAGAAAUACAGAGAGCAGAACACGCUGUGCGUCAGCUGCUGUAGAGAACAGAUGAAACAAACCCCGGGGUUUAUCGGGGGCCUGGGACUAACCCAGCCAGCAGCUUCCAAUAGAGCAAAGUCGCAAAUAAUUUCAAAUCCUUUUUUAUGAGCUUUUGUGAAAAUAAAGCUGGGUGCACACUAGAUCAACAAGCACUCUCCAAGAUGCAGGACAACCCAAAGAAGACCCUGUUAUCUGGCUACAUCAAAUGCUGCUGCUUCAACAUUAGAUUGUAUAAUAAAUGUAAGUGACAAAAUAAGGAAUGAACUUUUUCAUGAGUUCUGAAAUGAUUCUACUUGUGUCAUUUUCUACCAUGAUUAUCGAGGAGUGUUGUCAUCUCAUUUGUGGAGGUUUUACAAGCGUUUUUUGUACAACUAAUGCCUGUUCUUUUUUUUUCCUUUGAAAACGGACAAUACAGAGAAGCAAUUAGAAACCGUCAAUGACCUUUGUCUCUAAGAAUGUAUAUUGCAUAUUUUGAGAUAUUCUAUUCUGGUAUUUUUACUAUAGAUUGUCAUAUAGAGUUAAUGUUAAACUAAGUACAUACUAUCUGAUAUAUAAAAAGCAUGUAAGCCAUGAGGUGUAAUAAUAAAGUGCAUCCCUGAAAAUAAAACAGGGACCAAAGAGUCAUUGCUAACUUGGCACUUUCCCCUGGAUUCCUCCCCUACUAUUUGCCUGC